rnacentral:rRNA from 1 species
GACGGAGGGUGCAAGCGUUGCUCGGAAUCACUGGGCUUAAAGCGUGUGUAGGCGGACUUGUAAGUACCUUGUGAAAUCCCACGGCUCACCCGUGGAACUGCUGGGUAUACUGCGAGUCUUGAGCCACUUAGGGGCUGUCGGAACAGGCGGUGGAGCGGUGAAAUGCGUAGAUAUCGCCUGGAACGCCAAAGGUGAAAACAGACAGCUGGGAGUGUGCUGACGCUGAGACACGAAAGCCAGGGGAGCGAACGGG